GACUGGGAUACCACUUGGAAACAGGUGCUAAUACCGGAUAACAACAUGAAUCGCAUGAUUCAAGUUUGAAAGGCGGCGCAAGCUGUCACUUUAGGAUGAGCCCGCGGCGCAUUAGCUAGUUGGUGGGGUAAAGGCCUACCAAGGCAAUGAUGCGUAGCCGAGUUGAGAGACUGAUCGGCCACAUUGGGACUGAGACACGGCCCAAACUCCUACGGGAGGCAGCAGUAGGGAAUCUUCCACAAUGGACGCAAGUCUGAUGGAGCAACGCCGCGUGAGUGAAGAAGGUCUUCGGAUCGUAAAGCUCUGUUGUUGGUGAAGAAGGAUAGAGGCAGUAACUGGUCUUUAUUUGACGGUAAUCAACCAGAAAGUCACGGCUAACUACGUGCCAGCAGCCGCGGUAAUACGUAGGUGGCAAGCGUUGUCCGGAUUUAUUGGGCGUAAAGCGAGCGCAGGCGGAAUGAUAAGUCUGAUGUGAAAGCCCACGGCUCAACCGUGGAACUGCAUCGGAAACUGUCAUUCUUGAGUGCAGAAGAGGAGAGUGGAACUCCAUGUGUAGCGGUGGAAUGCGUAGAUAUAUGGAAGAACACCAGUGGCGAAGGCGGCUCUCUGGUCUGCAACUGACGCUGAGGCUCGAAAGCAUGGGUAGCGAACAGGAUUAGAUACCCUGGUAGUCCAUGCCGUAAACGAUGAGCGCUAGGUGUUGGGGACUUUCCGGUCCUCAGUGCCGCAGCAAACGCAUUAAGCGCUC
rnacentral:rRNA from 1 species